AACAAAGAGGAUUGUAGGGCUCCAUGGUCAUUUUAGAAACUAAUUUCGUCGGUUUUUAAUCCUUUGUUUAGAGACCAUUUUGUUCAGUUUCAAAACUUAAGGAGGAUUGUGGGAUGUCUCUAUUCAUUUUAUUUAGAAACCGAUUGGUUCGGUUUCCAUUAUGAUUAAAUAAAGUUAAUACUAAAUAUGAAACUGCGUAGUUUUGGAUUAAAACCUAAAUGAGCCUAAAGUAGUAACACAAUCAUCUGUCUCUUUCAUUUGCGUGUAGCCCUCGCCGCACACCAGAUUCCUGUACCCUUGCCUCAUUCCUUCGAUUCCAUCCACUUGCUGUUUUGAUUUCUCCUCUUCGAACAAGAGAGAGACACGCGCAUAGCUCUACCACUAUCAGCUUGGCCUUGCCAAAGUGGAGCUUGAACCUGGAUUCCUCAGUCCUUCUAAUCCCUCUAACUGAGGCUACGGUUUUCGUUUGCUUUCCUCCUCCUCAUCUUUUUCUAUAAAUAUGAUUCAUUCGUGGAUCCUCUUUGUGAUUAUUAUUAGUGGAUUUGAUGUAAAUAUCACUGUUGUGCUUCCUUGUUUGAGUUACUGAUUUGAGAUUUUGAGAUCUUAAGUGUGUUUUGUUGUUCAUUUAAGGGACUUUUCACUCUGCUAAAUAUACCUUGAGAUAGGUUUCAAUUAGUUUAGUUAGUGACUGCAAGUUUAGCCUUUUGAGUUAUUUUCUUAAUGUGCUUUUAUAUUCUAGAAGUUGUAGGAGUAGAGGUUAGAUCAUCCGAAAUUAUUUUAGGAAUUCCAUACGAUAACAUUUGUCAUUUUCUUUGAUUGUAGAGUGUUAAUUGUAAUGAUGGAUUACUCACUUAAAGGUUUACCUUCAAUAUGAAUUGCAUAAGAAUUCUCCUUCUCCAUUUCUCUAAUUUUUUUUUGUCUAAAAUGAUUAUCACCUUAAUAAUAUCAAAAAAAUCAAAUUAGCUAGGAAUAUGAUUGUCGAAUUGGAUUAACAGAUUUAGAUAAAGUGGGAGUGAAAUUUUCGAUAAUUGACAGGGAGCCAAUACAUCAUGCUAUAGCUGUUUAUUAGAAGCUAAUGAUGCAGUGGAGCAAACCCCAAAUGACACACUGCAAUUCGUGUGAUUAAUGUUUUCUUAGUCCCCAAAUUUCACUUUGAUCCCAUCAAGAUGCAAUUUUAUCAUAAUGUUGAUUUUUCUUUUUCCUUCUCAAAUAUUUAUUGUUGUCCUGUCUAUGAAAACUUGUUAUCUUUUUUAUAGAAAUUGUACACAUAAAAUGUUAUAUUAUCUAUUCUCUGUUUUAUAUUAUGUGGAAUCUGUAAAUAGUUUCAUUUAGUAGGGGUUCCCAAAAUAGUGAGGUAACUAAUCCUUGUAUGGUUUCCUAGAAAAUUUAUGAAUAAGGAAAGUUGCUAUUAAGAUGCCAUUAUUAAUGUUACUGAACUGACUAUCUGCCCUCUUAUGGGCCAAUAUUAUAAUUAGUGAUGGGGAAGUUGAACAUAAUUUUGCUGUUAGCAUUUUUUUUUUGUUUUAUGUUUUAUCUGCAGUUCAAUUGAAAUUGGAAUGGCUUUUCUGCUAUAUUGGUGACCUAGGGUUGCUGUUUCUAGGAUGCUUAUAUUGAAAUGCUGGAAAAAAAACUCAAAUAUGGCUGAUUUUGUGUGGCUGAACUCUGCAAUUAUUUGCUCAAUUUUAGAUCUGAUUGCUAUGAUAGGUAAACAAAACUAAACAUUCUAUGCUUUUCAUUGAGAAUUUCAUAGAUAAAGUAUUUUUUAAGAAAAUUAAAAUCAUGACUAAGAAUAUUUUUAAAAUAAAAAAAAUGAUAAAAAUUAAAAAAUUAUCUUUAAAGGGAAUUUCACUUUUAUUCCUUUUACAUUUAUCGAUGAAAUUAAAAUUAAAGAACUUAUUUGAGACUAAUUUUUUCCAAGCAUUUUCAAACAAUUUCAAUUUUUUUAAUGGCUCUUUAAUCCACAUCGACUUGAUCCAGUAAAGUUUUUAUCACUUUGCACAUCAAGAACAAUUUAAAAUUUGUUUCAAAUAAAUUUUUGUACACUUAUUUGAUUUAAUUUCAAUGAAUUUUUUAUUAUUAAAAUUAAUCUUACUUGAAUUAUGGACUAACAUAUUAAUAAAAGAGAAAAUUACAUGUUUCGGAAAAAUAUAUAGACCGUGCUUAAUUAAAAAAUUUUCCUAGUACUAGUUCUACUAUUUUGGCACCAUUAAGGCCACUUGUUGAGUACUGUGAUUAUUGUAGAAUAAUUUAGAUUUACCACCCAACACAUUUGAAAAGUUUUCCUAGUAAAUUUUCUAUGCAUAUUUAUUUAAAUUGCAUAGCCUUAAAGUUCACAAUAGGGAAGUUUCCUGGAACCUUGCUACUGACACCAGCCAAUAAAUAAUCCAAAUUUUCUGAAUUAUGGAGCUAUCAAUUCUAAUUAAAGAGUAAUGGUGAUUUAUCUAUUUAUUAAUUGGCUUUUUACUUUUAUGUUUUAAUGGAUUAAUUGUUAUGACCAAUUCAUGAGGAUAUAUAUAUUGAGAUUAGAAAAAAAAAAAAAAGAAUCUAUAUAUGUAUACUCCAAGGGCUAGCUCCAUGAAGAACAUUUUUUUUCUAUUAACUUUAAAUAUUAAUUAUGAGAUGAUUAAGUGCUUUCUCUUCAUGACUCAAUGAAAUGAUAGUUGACCAUUUGGGAACUAAAUGGUAUUAUUGCUUCUCUGUUUUUCUUACGCUAUACAUCUGUCAGACGUUUUCAUCAUCGUGCUUAUUUUCUUUGUUUUUCCUAAUCUGAUACUAAUAACCUCAUAGAAAUGCGCCUGGUUGUAUGCCUUGGUUGAUGAAUGUAGUUGCUGGUUGAGAGCUUAAUGUCUUAUGAGAAUAUCUGUUUUUCCCAUUCGAAAAUAUAUAGGUUGUCACCAUUACCAGUAAUAGAGGUUGUGUAGGUAAAUUAGACUAAUGCGCUUUAAAUUGACUUUAGAAGAAUCUACAAGAAAAGAUCAUGCUUCAUAAUUGAUGAUUUGGUCAUUGUCACUCCUUACAAAUUGCCUCCUUGGUUAUGUAUGAAGGAUGAGUAUAUGUUCCUAACGGUAAUAGUUCCUGGUCUGAGAAACCCGAAGGACAAAUUGGAUGUGUACUUGUAGCCCCUUAUUGCAGAGUUGAAACAGUUGUGGGAAGUUAGAGUUGAGACAUACGAUGCAUCUAAGAAGAACAAUUUUACAGCCCCAACUCCAGAUGCGACUCAUCAGGAUGAUGGUGGAGAGGCCGAUGGUGGUGAUGAGUGAUGAUAUUGUUGAUGACAAGUAGCUUGUUUUCUUGUUAUUAUGAUAUUUUAUUUUUUCAUACAGUACAUUAUUGUCAUAACUCAUCAUUGUCAUAUCUAUAUAUAAUAUUGACUGAUAUUUGAUA